UUCAUGUAGAAUGUUGGUA
rnacentral:miRNA from 1 species